GAUGAACGCUGGCGGCGUGCUUAACACAUGCAAGUCGAACGGGAAUUAUUUUAUUGAAACUUCGGUCGAUUUAAUUUAAUUCUAGUGGCGGACGGGUGAGUAACGCGUGGGUAACCUGCCUUAUACAGGGGGAUAACAGUCAGAAAUGGCUGCUAAUACCGCAUAAGCGCACAGGGCUGCAUGGCUCAGUGUGAAAAACUCCGGUGGUAUAAGAUGGACCCGCGUUGGAUUAGCUUGUUGGCAGGGUAACGGCCUACCAAGGCGACGAUCCAUAGCCGGCCUGAGAGGGUGAACGGCCACAUUGGGACUGAGACACGGCCCAGACUCCUACGGGAGGCAGCAGUGGGGAAUAUUGCACAAUGGGGGAAACCCUGAUGGAGCGACGCCGCGUGAAGGAAGAAGUAUCUCGGUAUGUAAACUUCUAUCAGCAGGGAAGAUAGUGACGGUACCUGACUAAGAAGCCCCGGCUAACUACGUG
rnacentral:rRNA from 1 species